GCGAAGAGGUCACACCCGUUCCCAUGCCGAACACGGAAGUUAAGCUCUUCAGCGCCGAUGGUAGUCGGGGGUUUCCCCCUGUGAGAGUAGGA
rnacentral:rRNA from 1 species